rnacentral:ribozyme from 1 species
UGUCCAACAACUCCUAUCUCUACCUCCUCGCGGUACUGGCCGGGGUACGAGUAACCUUAGGGAAGAUCGGGUAACCAACCCUGGUGGGAACUCUGGUGGUAUACUGACAGGGAAGG